rnacentral:rRNA from 1 species
AUUGAACGCUGGCGGCAUGCCUUACACAUGCAAGUCGAACGGCAGCACGGGAGCUUGCUCCUGGUGGCGAGUGGCGAACGGGUGAGUAAUACAUCGGAACGUACCCUGAAGUGGGGGAUAACGUAGCGAAAGUUACGCUAAUACCGCAUAUUCUGUGAGCAGGAAAGAGGGGGAUCGCAAGACCUCUUGCUUUAGGAGCGGCCGAUGUCGGAUUAGCUAGUUGGUGAGGUAAGGGCUCACCAAGGCGACGAUCCGUAGCGGGUCUGAGAGGAUGAUCCGCCACACUGGGACUGAGACACGGCCCAGACUCCUACGGGAGGCAGCAGUGGGGAAUUUUGGACAAUGGGCGCAAGCCUGAUCCAGCCAUGCCGCGUGAGUGAAGAAGGCCU